UGGGGAAUUUUGGACAAUGGGCGAAAGCCUGAUCCAGCAAUGCCGCGUGUGUGAAGAAGGCCUUCGGGUUGUAAAGCACUUUUGUCCGGAAAGAAAUCCUUGGCUCUAAUACAGUCGGGGGAUGACGGUACCGGAAGAAUAAGCACCGGCUAACUACGUGCCAGCAGCCGCGGUAAUACGUAGGGUGCAAGCGUUAAUCGGAAUUACUGGGCGUAAAGCGUGCGCAGGCGGUUUGCUAAGACCGAUGUGAAAUCCCCGGGCUCAACCUGGGAACUGCAUUGGUGACUGGCAGGCUAGAGUAUGGCAGAGGGGGGUAGAAUUCCACGUGUAGCAGUGAAAUGCGUAGAGAUGUGGAGGAAUACCGAUGGCGAAGGCAGCCCCCUGGGCCAAUACUGACGCUCAUGCACGAAAGCGUGGGGAGCAAACAGGAUUAGAUACCCUGGUAGUCCACGCCCUAAAACGAUGUCAACUAGUUGUUGGGGAUUCAUUUCCUUAGUAACGUAGCUCAACGCGUGAAGUUGACCGCCUGGGGAGUACGGUCGCAAGAUUAAAACUCAAAUGAAUUGACGGGGUCAU
rnacentral:rRNA from 1 species